UCAGCCCUUUGCCACUCCCACCUUCAAGGUUUGUUUUGUUUAUAAUUUCGCUCUGGACGAAUUCAAGCCCUGUUGAGGCCGCAAUGAGUCAGUGUCCGACGGCUUUUGGCGCUAUCAACGCGUUCCACGUGGACAAGAAGAGGCACCAUACUCCUUUUCCGGACAGGAAUCGGUCAAAAAAUAGGAUUUAACUCAAGAUGUUGGAUGGACUUUUCUUCGUCCGAAAACUAAAUUUCCGGUCCACGAGACGAGGAGGCUAAACCUGGAUACAAAAUGCAGCAAAAGGAAUUAAUUUCGCGACUACUCAGUCAUGGCUCUGACUCUGAAGUGUCCGGCGGCUUCGAGUGAGCAGCCAAAUAUCCACAAUCCGUGCCAUAACGUACAAGAAAAAGGUCCUUUAAGCGUCCAGCGUGAAUAUCCUCCUGUGGUUAUUUUGUGGCUGCACCGGCUUUUUUCCGCGCUUAUUGACCUAAAUUUCGACUUGGAGGGCCUUGAAAUGCAGAAACUGCACAAAAAGCACAAGAUAUUGAACAUUUUCUAUUAAAAGUCACUAAGCUCGUCGAAAAACCUGCCAAAACAAUAAUUUUGGAGGUGGAACAUUACUAAUGCCCGUAAAAUCGGUAUGAAAUAAAUGUGAGCCAAGUUUUAACUUUAUUAUUUAUUAUCUGCUCUUCAAUUUUACAAUAAAUUAAAUUGUUGAA